rnacentral:rRNA from 1 species
GACGAACGCUGGCGGCGUGCUUAACACAUGCAAUUCGAACGGAAAGGCCCUGCUUUUGUGGGGUGCUCGAGUGGCGAACGGGUGAGUAACACGUGAGUAACCUGCCCUUGACUUUGGUAUAACUUCAGGAAACUGGGGCUAAUACCGGAUAGGAGCUCCUGCUGCAUGGUGGGGGUUGGAAAGUUUCGGCGGUUGGGGAUGGACUCGCGGCUUAUCAGCUUGUUGGUGGGGUAGUGGCUUACCAAGGCUUUGACGGGUAGCCGGCCUGAGAGGGUGACCGGCCACAUUGGGACUGAGAUACGGCCCAGACUCCUACGGGAGGCAGAAGUGGGGAAUAUUGCACAAUGGGCGGAAGCCUGAUGCAGCAACGCCGCGUGCGGGAUGACGGCCUUCGGGUUGUAAACCGCUUUCGCCUGUGACGAAGCGUGAGUGACGGUAAUGGGUAAAGAAGAACCGGCUAACUACGUG